GAGUCAUUGGGACUCAAUUAAACCUAAAGGCGCAAUGAAAGUAAAGGUCCGCCUUGCGCGGACCGAGGGAGGAUGGGCCCGUUCACGGGCGGGCCCCGCACUCCCGGGGCGUCUCGUUCUCAUCGCGAGUAGAGGCGCACCCAGAGCGUACACGCUGGGACCCGAAAGAUGGUGAACUAUGCCUGGUCAGGACGAAGUCAGGGGAAACCCUGAUGGAGGUCCGUAGCGAUUCUGACGUGCAAAUCGAUCGUCGGAACUGGGUAUAGG
rnacentral:rRNA from 2 species